CGAACUCACAACCACCAGAACCGCCCGGCACUCUAACCAACUAAGCUGACCGGGCAGCUGGUUCUAACCCACACACACUACCCUCCCCGCAUUUACCGGUUAAGGCUGGUGGAGGGUCUCCUGCUAUUUACCGUUGACAGUGAUGACAAGUUUUACAAAUAAUCGGAAAGUGUGGUCUUUUGAAGAGAGUUCUUGAAGUUGUUCAGCAUGUUGUUUUGAUGGAUUCUUGGAAGGAUGUACCUCUAUGAUGUUAGCUUCAGUUCUGGAGUAUAACACCAGUUGUUGCAUAUUUAAUAUCAGAUUUAUUAAAUACAUUGUUGUUUUGCAAACAUUACUUAAACUUUGAUAUUUCUUUGGUGUUUAUGUAUGAUAUUAUAGGUGAAUAUCUCUUUAUUGCAAUGGCAAAUAUAUUUUAAAAUAUAUAGCAUUAGCAGAAGUUAUUUUUCACUGUUAAAGCUGCACUUUCACAGAUUGAUCACUUUGCCAACUUACACAGGAUUCGAUUGCAUUUAUCAUAUUUUGGCUCGGAGAAGUUUGCUUUGUGAUUUAUAUAUUAGGUCUUAAUUUAAAGAAUGCCAAAACAAGCCGAUUCUGAGACAAAAAGUGUCAAACUAGAAUUCUGUGAGAGUGCAACUUUAAGAAUACUGUUAAUCGAGUGUGCAUGUGAUCCGGACUCUGAACAUUGAAUGAACUAUCAUUAAAUAUUGUAGAUUUACGUAAAUGGCCCAAAAUAAAAGAAUAACAAUGAAAAUAUGUA